CGUAGGUGGCAAGCGUUGUCCGGAUUUACUGGGCGUAAAGAGCGCGCAGGCGGUCGUUCAAGUCGCGUGUGAAAGCCCCCGGCUCAACUGGGGAGGGUCACGCGAUACUGAUCGACUCGAAGGCAGGAGAGGGUAGUGGAAUUCCCGGUGUAGUGGUGAAAUGCGUAGAUAUCGGGAGGAACACCAGUGGCGAAGGCGACUACCUGGCCUGUUCUUGACGCUGAGGCGCGAAAGCUAGGGGAGCAAACGGGAUUAGAUACCCCGGUAGUCCUAGCCGUAAACGAUGGACACUAGGUGUUGGUGGUAUCAACCCCGCCAGUGCCGAAGCUAACGCAUUGAGUGUCCCGCCUGGGGAGUACGGCCGCAAGGCUA
rnacentral:rRNA from 1 species